AGGAGUGUGCAGGCGCGUCCUUUUAGGCUGUGCAUGCUUAUUAUUUGCUUAAUGAUUGCGUUUAUGAGUCAUGAUUGGAAAGUAGUGAGACGAUUAUUGAUUAGUCGUUUUGGUUGUGGAAAUAGGAUGGAUGGGAAUAUAAUGAUUGCAAUAACGAGGGGUAGGCCUAAGAGUGUAGGGGUAGUGAAAGGGGUGAAUAAAUUUUCGUUCAUUUUAGUUCUCAAGGAUUAGAUGCUUUGGUGUAUAGAAAAUUUUUGGUCUGUGGUUGUGGGUGGAAAGUGAAGGUUUUAAAUUUUAAUUGGAAAAUAAUGAAUAGGGUAAAUGUAGUUCUCCAGGAUUGGCUGGUUUGGUG